rnacentral:misc_RNA from 1 species
CCGGUUCCCAGGGUUAGAGUAUUCCCUAUUAUGAGCCUACUCAGAUCAGAACUAAACUAAUUGAUUCUCUUUCGCCUAUCGGCCGGCCGGCUUGUUGCAACCUUCGCAUUUCCUGCUGAGAUCCCAAGUCUCCAAGUGGGCCCUCUUGGCCACCCGCGACCUUGGCUUUUUAGAGAAUCCCGCUCCUGUGUCGUGGGACUUGUAGCUCGGCAGUCCACCGGGUGGGUUUUUUUUCCUUCCAGUUUCGAGUGUCUUCUUGGAUAGUUAUAGCGGCCCAUAGGCGCAAGAUGUACCUUGUGGGGGGGGGCGGCGGUCCCCUGGACAUAGUCCUUUCAGGCAGUGGCCGUUUAGUCCAUGGUCCAUUUGAUGGUCGGUGCAAGGCCAGAAAUUGGAACACAUUGAUUCCGCUCGUUCCCGUCCUUCGCUUCAGGGCCUGUCCCUCGGUGUGGUCAGUACUCCAUACUGUCGGGCAGCAAAGCUUACACUUGUUCACUAAUUAUGACGGUUCGCCAGGGCCUCUUUCCUCCUCCCUUUUCUGCUCACUCGUAGGGGUUCGGACCCCCACAAAGGGGGAGGGAGUCGACUGAACAUCUCAGCCAUUGGCGGGAAUUUCGCCCGCAUCCGAUCCCCAAUUCUUGUUCACCCCGUAUGAUCGUGUUGGGUGAAUUGUGACCUCGUACGAUCGUGUCGGGUGAGCAACAGCCGCUUCGUCACAGUACUUACUUAUGGGCUAACGGGUCACACUUUGGCCAAGUAUCCUACAAAGA